UGAGGAAUAUUGGUCAAUGGGCGCAAGCCUGAACCAGCCAUCCCGCGUGAAGGAAGAAUGCGCUAUGCGUUGUAAACUUCUUUUCCAGGGGAAUAAAAUUUCGUACGAGUACGGGACUGACGGUACCUUGGGAAUAAGCAUCGGCUAACUCCGUGCCAGCAGCCGCGGUAAUACGGAGGAUGCGAGCGUUAUCCGGCUUUAUUGGGUUUAAAGGGUGCGUAGGCGGAAAAAUAAGUCAGUGGUGAAAGCCUUCAGCUUAACUGGAGACUUGCCAUGGAUACUGUUAUGCUUGAG
rnacentral:rRNA from 1 species